AGGUUUCUUAUCUCUUUGAUAAAAAAAAAAAAACUUUCUUAUCUCUAGUCGUCUCUGUCCCUCUCGAGUCUCAUCUCUGCGUUUCCCCCUUUACUCCAUCUCGAGCUCCACCACUCUGUGGUCUCCACUCACCCACAAUCGAACAAGGUGGCGCCUCUUGUCCACUCUCGAGCCUCACCGCCGUGCUCUGCUCAUCAAUCCACCGUGCUCUGCUUCACACCGCAACAGUCUGGCCGUCGUCGCCACGUCGGAGCUCUCAUCCAUCGCAAUCCAUGACUGUGUCCGUGACCAAACGACACCACGAUAGCACCUGCUCCAAAUCAAGCUUCUCUGGCGCGUUCUUGCUUCAACGGAAUCAUGCCUCACCGUCGGAAUCAAAGUGGAGAAGAGAAACAAUGGCGUUUCGACAAAAGGUGCUGCUACCAAGUAGUGGGCAUUGGAAGAUGGUACUAACUCUGUCGCUAUGGCUAAGAGAAGAAUGAGAGCCAACUUUGAGUUUUUGAAGAAACUUGGAGUUGAUUGGUGGUGUUUCUACACGUGAGGUGCAGGUGGAGUUCUUCUUGUUUACGACAUCAGCAGACAGCAGACUUUUCAGAGCAUUGGUAGAUGGCUGAACGAGCUGCACAGUGGUGUUGCGGAAACGCCUUGCCCAUAUCAAAAGAGAAGUUGAUAAAAAGAUGGUGGAGAAGAGAAGUUGGUUUCUUGUGUUCUUCUGUGUCAAGCUUUGAUCUGAGUUAAGUGAGAUUCGGUUUGGAUUAGAUGGUGAAGGAAACAGAGUAAUAUGAUGUGCUCGGCGUUAGCCCAAGUGCUACUGAGUCUGAGAUCAAGACUCAGUUUGUUUAUGACUAGAUUUGAUGGUUAUAUGUUCUUUUAUGGAGUUCGUGUGUUUCAUGUAUUGAUUUUGUAUGUUUUGAUUCUUUGAUGGAAAAACAUGUGGUAUUAUAUGAUUUAUUUGUGUUUUAUUAGAGUAAAUUAUAUUUAUUAA